rnacentral:rRNA from 1 species
AUUAGGUUGUUGGUGAGGUAAGAGCUUACCAAGCCGAAAAUACUUAGUUGGUCUGAGAGGAUGAUCAGCCACACUAGGACUGAGAUAAGGCCUAGGCUUUAUACCCAGCACUGGGGAAUCUUGGACAAUGGGCGAAAGCUUGAUCCAGUAAUACUGCGUGAAUGAGGAAAGCAAAAAAGAUUUAUUAAUUUAGAUCGGUUGUAAAGUUAUUUCGCUAAUUAAGAUAUUGACACUAAUUAGAAAAGAAGCCCCGGCUAACUUCGUGCCAGCAGCCGCGGUAAUACGAAGGGGGCUAGCGUUAUUCGGAAUGAUUGGGUGUAAAGAGUUUGUAG